AUUUGUAAACAACCAGCCCUUUAACUCGGGGCUGCGUUAUAAACACGGAGCGCUUGGAAGACCACGAUGUCAUCUUCCUUCUGUCAGGAGUAUCAAAGUGAAGCUACAGGAGUUUCAUUAACGUCAACAACUUGGACCGAACGGUUUGUUUUGCUUGAUGAAGAGCAGGAAGGGCAGCCUGGAGAGAAAGAGAAGCCGGGUUGAGCCCACUACCAUCAUCCACGUACCACGAGGAAGAUGAGGGAGAGAGAUGAUCCUACCAUUAAAGAGGUACUUUUAAGUUACAUACCAGAAACACCAUUUUAUAUAAUGUGCUAAAUAUACAUUUUAUUACAUCCCCAAAGUACGCUUGCUGAAAUACAAGUUUAUAUCACACUGAAAGAAUUUUGAUCAAUCAUGCUUCCCUGCUGUGAUUGUUUAACUGGGAAAACAACUUUUUCCACAGGAAGGCAAGUAAAUUUAAGGAAUACAUGUGCAAAGUUUUCCUCUGUUAUGUAUAAUGAUGACCCCCAUCAAACAUAAUGUUAGCAAUAUUUACACCUUUUAAUUUAUACUGUUUAUUUCUGUCUACAUGUGUGAAUUUGCCUUCAUUAGUUUCAGAAAAGAGCGAUGAUGUAUCGGUCAGUGGGCGGCAGCACGAGACUCCGCAAACUAGUCUGUAAGCAAAGCAGACGAAGGCAUCGAGGUUGCGGCCUGCCAUCAUUGUUAUUUUGCUUAAGGGACUGAAUAUGUUUCAUGUAGAAAUAUUAGCAUUUCCCUUAUAUCUACCAAAACUGCUUGUUUCACAGACUGCAGUUUUGUUUUGAUCCGAUGUGGUGUGCAAAUACAACCGUAUCUGCAAUGGGUUGUGGGGCAUUAACAUUUGUAACUCUAAUUUUGUUUUGACAGACUGUGAAAAGAACGUUGAGAACAUCACCACUCUACAGGAAGACACAGUCCAGUAAUGGGUGUCAGAAGUUCAGUAGUGAACGACAGGCAGUACUGAUGCAUUUACUGAGAGGGGACGUGAGGGCCUACUCUGCGUGCUCAGAGUUCAAGCCCAGCAGGCUGCAGCGGGCCUGACAUAUUCUGGAACAGCAGCACAGUCUUUAGAUGACUCCUCUGAAGAUGAAAACAUGGCGAGUUCUUCUCAAGAGAAGCAGUACAGGUGUGCCUCAGCUCCACGGUCCCUCCUGCAGCCUCCGCUCCUGAUGCUAACCUCAUGUCUCCAUCACACCAAGCAGCAGACCUGGAUUGACAGACCUUUCUCCAGAGCUGCCCCCUCCCUCUGAAACCCCCCUCUCCAAAACACUAUUUGUGUAGUUUUUAAAGUAUUUUUUGCAUGAGAAUUGUUGAUCAUAUCAUUUCCAGCAGAUGCCUUAAUAUAAUGUUUGUGCACAAUAAAUGACAUUGAUCAUAACAUAAUGGUAUUUCCUUGCACUUCUACACCAUGAUAUUGGCAGAUAAGAUGCUGAUUACAUUAAAGCAGUGAAUGCUCUUCUUUAAGCAACAUAAACAAACAAUGAUCCAAUGGAUCUGAAGUAGAAUGGGCACAUUACAUUCUGUAGAGA